GUGAGAAUGUGGUCACCUUGACACAGCAACCAUAUGAUUAAGGGCAUGGUCUAAAAUUUCCCUUUCAUUCCACAUGGCACAUGGAGGUUGGAAUGAUUUUACAUGUUUUCAUUUUUUGUUCUAUGUUUUAUUUUAAAACUACAUAAGCAGCCAUCUUUGAACCCAGAUUCCAAAAGGUGAAUUAAUUUUGGAGCCAAAGCCAAAAGCAAGACCAACAGGAAGCCUAGGGUGUGAGAAAAGCAUUUUUAAAAACUGGUGAUUG
rnacentral:lncRNA from 1 species